rnacentral:rRNA from 1 species
AUGCAUGACGAGAGACCGCAGUCAACCAUGGAAGCCAUGAGGCACGUUGUGUUGACAAAGAACUAUGCUGAGCUAAUUGAUGAAGCGUGCAAGAGUGAUGAGACAGCGAGAGUAGCAGAAAAACACAGGAAGGCCCUGAAAAGAGAGCUUGAUGAGAUCAAGAAGAGGAAAGCUGAGGAAGCCUUACACAGGUUCCCCCGCACAUCAAGUGUGCCUUCGUCCACGGGGCCAUCAUCUGAAAACUCAGAGAUAGGAUCUGGAACAGCAAGCACACAAACCCAGGUCAGGAACCCGCCCCGUUCCAUCACAAAGGGGCGUCCAAAAGAGAUAAGAUGCAAAUUGGGAUUGGAGAUUCAAGCAAAACACAAGAAAACAAGGAAAGGGACAGGCAACCCAUAA